rnacentral:rRNA from 1 species
GACGAACGCUGGCGGCGUGCUUAACACAUGCAAGUCGAACGGAAAGGCCCUGCUUUUGUGGGGUGCUCGAGUGGCGAACGGGUGAGUAACACGUGAGUAACCUGCCCUUGACUUUGGGAUAACUUCAGGAAACUGGGGCUAAUACCGGAUAGGAGCUCCUGCUGCAUGGUGGGGGUUGGAAAGUUUCGGCGGUUGGGGAUGGACUCGCGGCUUAUCAGCUUGUUGGUGGGGUAGUGGCUUACCAAGGCUUUGACGGGUAGCCGGCCUGAGAGGGUGACCGGCCACCUUGGGCCUGAGAGACGGCCCAGACUCCUACGGGAGGCAGCAGUGGGGAAUAUUGCACAAUGGGCGGAAGCCUGAUGCAGCAACGCCGCGUGCGGGAUGACGGCCUUCGGGUUGUAAACCGCUUUCGCCUGUGACGAAGCGUGAGUGACGGUAAUGGGUAAAGAAGCACCGGCUAACUACGUG